GACGAACGCUGGCGGCGUGCUUAACACAUGCAAGUCGAACGGAAAGGCCCUGCUUUUGUGGGGUGCUCGAGUGGCGAACGGGUGAGUAACACGUGAGUAACCUGCCCUUGACUUUGGGAUAACUUCAGGAAACUGGGGCUAAUACCGGAUAGGAGCUCCUGCUGCAUGGUGGGGGUGGGAAAGUUUCGGCGGUUGGGGAUGGACUCGCGGCUUAUCAGCUUGUUGGUGGGGUAGUGGCUUACCAAGGCUUUGACGCGUAGCCGGCCUGAGAGGGUGACCGGUCACACUGGAACUGAGACACGGUCCAGGCGCCGACGGGAGGCAGCAGUGGGGAAUAUGGGACAGUGGGCGAAAGCCGGAGCCAGCCAUGCCGCGUGUGUGAAGAAGGUCUUCGGAGUGUAAAGCACUUUAAGUUGGGAGGAAGGGCAGUAAGUUAAUACCUUGCUGUUUUGACGUGACCAACAGAAUAAGCACCGGCUAACUUCGUG
rnacentral:rRNA from 1 species